rnacentral:rRNA from 1 species
AUUGAACGCUGGCGGCAGGCUUAACACAUGCAAGUCGAGCGGGGGAAGGUAGCUUGCUACCGGACCUAGCGGCGGACGGGUGAGUAAUGCUUAGGAAUCUGCCUAUUAGUGGGGGACAACAUCUCGAAAGGGAUGCUAAUACCGCAUACGUCCUACGGGAGAAAGCAGGGGAUCUUCGGACCUUGCGCUAAUAGAUGAGCCUAAGUCGGAUUAGCUAGUUGGUGGGGUAAAGGCCUACCAAGGCGACGAUCUGUAGCGGGUCUGAGAGGAUGAUCCCCCGCACUGGGACUGAGACACGGCCCAGACUCCUACGGGAGGCAGCAGUGGGGAAUAUUGGACAAUGGGGGGAACCCUGAUCCAGCCAUGCCGCGUGUGUGAAGAAGGCCUUAUGGUUGUAAAGCACUUUAAGCGAGGAGGAGGCUACUCUAGUUAAUACCUAGGGAUAGUGGACGUUACUCGCAGAAUAAGCACCGGCUAACUCUGUGCCAGCCGCCGCGGUAAAAC